rnacentral:rRNA from 1 species
AACGAACGCUGGCGGCAUGCCUAACACAUGCAAGUCGAACGAGACCUUCGGGUCUAGUGGCGCACGGGUGCGUAACGCGUGGGAACCUGCCCUUAGGUUCGGAAUAACUCCCCGAAAGGGGUGCUAAUACCGGAUAAUGUCUUCGGACCAAAGAUUUAUCGCCUUUGGAUGGGCCCGCGUUGGAUUAGCUAGUUGGUAGGGUAAAAGCCUACCAAGGCGACGAUCCAUAGCUGGUCUGAGAGGAUGAUCAGCCACACUGGGACUGAGACACGGCCCAGACCCCCACGGGAGGGAGGAGGGGGGAAUUUUGGGAAAUGGGGGAAAGGCUGAAGCAGCCAUGCCGGGGGAAGGAAGAAGGGCUUAGGGUUUGAAAAUCUUUUUUACCGGGAAUAAAAUGAAGGUAACCGGAGAAAAAGCCCCGGCUAACUCCGUG